GCUUGAUUGUUGUUUUUGAGUUUUAACACGAUUUGCAAUAUACAAUGAAAUAAUAAAUGGGUGCAUCAUACUCCUGUAACGGAAGAUGGUGUAACAUUCGCAGGAUGUUACUCGACUCCGCUGAAAAAAGGAGAACACGUAGAGGCUACAACACGAGACCCAAAUGCCUACUGAUUAGGAGAAAAACUCAUACAUUGAAAUGCCCCUGUUCUCCUGCACCAAAAACCAUAAUUUGCGUCAAAGAAUGCAAGGACGUUCAGAAAAUGCAGCAGAAAAUUGAGAAAAAUUUUGACGUGACGGAGUUGAGGACUGAAAAAUGCUGUUGUACGAAAACUUACGAAAGCGGCUGUCAAACUGAAGACCACGGGGAUUUCUUUUCCAAAAAUGUCUGCCGUUUUACCGUUGAUGCUUUCUUCAAAUAAAUUAUAACAUUAUCUU